ensembl:lncRNA
UUUAUAAGCCCCAGUUCCGGCUAUAUGACAUUUGGGUGCCAAAUGAAUAGGGUUUUGUCUAUGAAUUAGAUCGUAAAAUCAUCCAUAGCACAGACAGAUCGGCUCACUGGCUAUAAAACGUCACGUGGGGCCAUUAAAGUAAGUUUUAUGGUUUUGGGGAGUUGACAUCCAACAUUAUAUACCACAUAACAUAUAAUCUCACUGACGCUGGACUCCAUUUGACUCUUUUGCAGGCUACGUGUGCUGCCUGGUCAUUCAAAUUGUCAAUUUUAGGUCCAGAAGUGUCCAAACCACAAGUUCUCAAAACUCUCUGAAAAAUGGCUCCCUCCGAGUUAAGAUUUCUCUAAGCUGCCCUCCCAUCCACUCUUUGAGGCUCCUGCCAGACUUCUCAAAGCCAGGACUCUGCAGCAGACCAGAGACCAGACCGCAGUGUGUGGGGAAGGCAUCAACGGCCUCGAACCCUGGAUUACUGCGCGGCCUGACUGAACCGUAGGUCAGCGCGGAGCCACAGCAGCCUAGCUACUCAGAUGGGCAGGUCAGAAGUAGGACCCGCAUCCGGCCCCAGAGGACCCACAGCCUGCCAAGCCUUGAAUUCCCCGCAGGAAUUCAAGUCAGUGGAGCUGGAGGACCGAAGCCCCAGCUCACUGCCCCCGCCUCGGGCGGGACAGCGACAUCCAUCACCCACCCGCGCGUUUCCUGAUCCGGGUCCGCGCGCGCGGAGCGCCCAUUGGUGGGGGCGUUGCACGUGGG